rnacentral:rRNA from 1 species
ACACAUGCAAGUCGAGGGGCAGCACGGUGUAGCAAUACACUGGUGGCGACCGGCGCACGGGUGCGUAACGCGUAUGCAACCUACCCAUAACAGGGGGAUAACACUGAGAAAUUGGUACUAAUACCCCAUAACAUCAGGACCGGCAUCGGUUCUGGUUGAAAACUCCGGUGGUUAUGGAUGGGCAUGCGUUGUAUUAGCUGGUUGGUGAGGUAACGGCUCACCAAGGCAACGAUACAUAGGGGGACUGAGAGGUUAACCCCCCACAUUGGUACUGAGACACGGACCAAACUCCUACGGGAGGCAGCAGUGAGGAAUAUUGGUCAAUGGACGCAAGUCUGAACCAGCCAUGCCGCGUGCAGGAAGACGGCUCUAUGAGUUGUAAACUGCUUUUGUACGAGGGUAAACGCUCUUACGUGUAAGAGCCUGAAAGUAUCGUACGAAUAAGGAUCGGCUAACUCCGUGCCAGCAGCCGCGGUAAUACGGAGGAUCCAAGCGUUAUCCGGAUUUAUUGGGUUUAAAGGGUGCGUAGGCGGUUUGAUAAGUUAGAGGUGAAAUACCGGUGCUUAACACCGGAACUGCCUCUAAUACUGUUGAACUAGAGAGUAGUUGCGGUAGGCGGAAUGUAUGGUGUAGCGGUGAAAUGCUUAGAGAUCAUACAGAACACCGAUUGCGAAGGCAGCUUACCAAACUAUAUCUGACGUUGAGGCACGAAAGCGUGGGGAGCAAACAGGAUUAGAUACCCUGGUAGUCCACGCAGUAAACGAUGAUAACUCGCUGUCGGCGAUACACAGUCGGCGGCUAAGCGAAAGCGAUAAGUUAUCCACCUGGGGAGUACGUUCGCAAGAAUGAAACUCAAAGGAAUUGACGGGGGCCCGCACAAGCGG